rnacentral:rRNA from 1 species
AACAGGAUUAGAUACCCUGGUAGUCCACGCCGUAAACGAUGAGUGCUAAGUGUUAGGGGGUUUCCGCCCCUUAGUGCUGCAGCUAACGCAUUAAGCACUCCGCCUGGGGAGUACGGUCGCAAGACUGAAACUCAAAGGAAUUGACGGGGGCCCGCACAAGUGGUGGAGCAUGUGGUUUAAUUCGAAGCAACGCGAAGAACCUUACCAGGUCUUGACAUCCUCUGACAACCCUAGAGAUAGGGCUUUCCCUUCGGGGACAGAGUGACAGGUGGUGCAUGGUUGUCGUCAGCUCGUGUCGUGAGAUGUUGGGUUAAGUCCCGCAACGAGCGCAACCCUUGAUCUUAGUUGCCAGCAUUUAGUUGGGCACUCUAAGGUGACUGCCGGUGACAAACCGGAGGAAGGUGGGGAUGACGUCAAAUCAUCAUGCCCCUUAUGACCUGGGCUACACACGUGCUACAAUGGACAGAACAAAGGGCUGCGAGACCGCAAGGUUUAGCCAAUCCCACAAAUCUGUUCUCAGUUCGGAUCGCAGUCUGCAACUCGACUGCGUGAAGCUGGAAUCGCUAGUAAUCGCGGAUCAGCAUGCCGCGGUGAAUACGUUCCCGGGCCUUGUACACACCGCCCGUCACACCACGAGAGUUUGCAACACCCGAAGUCGGUGAGGUAACCUUUAUGGAGCCAGCCGCCGAAGGUGGGGCAGAUGAUUGGGGUGAAGUCGUAACAAGGUAAGCCGU